AUUAUGGAGGAAAGGUUGCAAGUAUGCAAGUUUCUUCUAUCCCAUAUUGAUGGGACGAAACUUUUAAUGAGUUUAUAAGCUUAAUUUUUUGAUAGACAUUGAAAGGCUUUAGUAGAUUAAAGGAAUGAGUCAAGCUCAUUAGUGCGCAUAGCUUAGUACUAAUUUAUGUUGUGAGAGAUGAGGAGCUUUUACUUUUGACGAGUUCAAGUCAAGGGACCGAUCUGGUCAAAUGGUUGACCGUCGCUGACUUCGUAGAGGACAAGUCAGAAUAUUCUAGAAGGCCAAUAAAAUGGUUUGCUUAGAGAGCAAGUCGUUACCCUAGGGGUUCUAGGGCCCGUUUCAUGUCUUCUAGGGUUUCGAUACCUAUAAAUAGAAGUCGUAUUAGUCACUCACGAAAAUCGAAGCUCUCCUCCUCUCUCUACGAUUUUCUUCCAGUUUUCGAGUAUUACUAUGUUGCUUACAACCAAUAGAAGCGAAGUAAAAACCUUUAAGGACGGGAGUCCAAUCUGUGCAGUUAUUCCAAGUUCAAGAUCAACCAUCAACAUUCACAAUCUGUUGGAAGAAAACCCUAGCCGAUCACGUAUACAGCGAUUUAUCCUCCCUCUCGUUUUCCCAGCAUUGGUCCCAGCUAUUCAGCGGGGUUUCGGAGGUUUUGGGCUACCAUAGAAGGGGAGAUGUGCUAGAGGUUCGAUCAGAGGGCAGGAGGGGUUCCGAUGGGGCAAAGAAAUCAACGAUGAAGUCGAAUCUUCAUAGGCCUUGAUCGAUGUGAACAGAAGAGAAAGAAAGCGAGGGGAGGAGGUAUCGAUCUCCGAUGAGUGACUAGACCGAAGAACAAAGGGAGAAGCAGCGGGGUGGGGUUGUUGCUCCGAUCGAAGCAGGUCAGGAGGUGGAGAGGAUGUGGUGGUGGUCGUUGAUUCUUCUUCUCCGGUGAAAUCUAGGUAUUUUUUUAUUCAUGUCUUCCGAUUAUGUUUUUGGUUAAUUAUUUAUAUGUCAAUUAGUUUAUUUGUCAAGACAGGAAAAAUAAAAAAAAAAAAACAUUGCAAGAUAGGAUAAGUAAAAUAACAUGUUGUUAGAAUAUAUUGAUUUGAAGAUUA